rnacentral:sRNA from 1 species
GGGCUGGAGGUGGAGGAGCAUUGCUGUUAAAGGGACAGUGAGAGAGUCCCUUAAACCCAAAGAAGAUGUCCAAAUCUAAAUAAGAGGUUAAUCUGAAGUAGGAGAUAAUCUAUAUUGGUCCUUAGCAAGCCUGCGGCUCUUUAAUUAAACAGACCAACACGGUUAACAUAAGAGAGAUGAACUCAAUUACGAACAGGCAAAAGCAUGUUUCACUCUGCAAGCGUCGAAUAAGCUGUGCGAAUUAUUUGCAUGGCUUAUCAUUUGGGAGACACCUCUGGAGACUUCGAGCUCUAAGAAUCUCUGAACUAAUUGAUUUAAGACAAGCUGGAGACAAGCAUUGUGCAAGAGGCUCCCUAAUGAAACUAACUUUUCUGCUGAGGAAAACAGCUUAAGUAAUUUGAAUUGCACCAUGUAGAUGCAAUCAGGAGUUAGUCCUUACAACGACAGCUAAAAAUAGAGAGAGCAUUAUAAAUAUAGGAGCUGAAAGAGACUUUCGACACUACUGCUUUUUAAUUUGUUUAAGCAGUGGAAACCUUUUAAAAAAAUCCUAUGUGUAUCCUCAACAUAUCGUAAACAUUUGAAAAAAGUCUUAAUAUAAAUGUUUUAGUAAACUAAGUUUUGGUUAAAUGCUAUAAGCCAAUGACUCGGAACAAGGAGAAAGGAUAAGAUGAAGGUUUGUAGACGACUUGUAAACAAGGUCAGUCAAAAUCCAAUUUUAGUGACUUUUUUUUUUACAACUACAUUUGUAGAUGAUAUCAGUGGUCGCUUCAGCUAAUUCACAAUAAAUGCAGCUAGCUGCCUUGUAAUGGUUUUUCUGGAAACCUUGGGAUAUUCUUGAAGUUUUAAUUAGAGACCAAAAUGGUUAAUUCUACAAUAUACACUGAAAUGAGCUUUUAGUGCUCACGGCCUAGGCUAUCUCGAGUUAAAAUCGUGUUUGAAACGAUUGUGGUCAAGAUCAUAGAUGCACGCAGUGACAAGAGACGGAAUAAAGCCCGCCUCCUCUACUUCCUGGAUACAAAACUCAACCCUAUUUGUCCAGUUGCCUUCUCUGUGAGCAUCUGUCAAACCUCCAGCCAAUGAACGCCUUCCGGACCCAGUAUCUGCAAACCUCCCACAGGCAGUCCCCCAACCCUCUCCUCCACAGCUGACUGGAUAUAAGGACUCUGGGCGUUUAAACAGGAGCAGAACAUUAAAGAGGAGAGAGUUCGUGAAGGCCUGCAGUUCAUGGAGAAAGACCAUCCACAAAAGACCAUCCACAGGAACAUCCUUAAAUGUUUGGAGAACCAAGACGUAAACCUGGCCUGUUUCAGCAACCAAGGCUUGGGAGUUUGUUAUGGUGGCAGUAUUAGCUACACUUACUAAUUAAUAUAAUAUUCAAAGCAACUACAAAAGCACCAUCUACUCAAAUGUUUGCUAAGCACCUGGAUCUUCUAUCCCAAAGCCAGUCUUUAAAAACAGAAGAGCUUUGAUUCAAACUUCUUGCUACACUCAAAGUCACCCAAAAGGAAGUCUUUGAGGAACCCAUCAGGACAAUCAAACAUAAUCAAAACAGCCUCCAUUUUUAUGCUUCUUAUGUAACUGUGUGAGAGGCUGCUUGUGCCCCACUCCCAGCCCACCACCCCUGCUUCCAACCAACAAGUGUGAUCACCCUGGCACAGUCCCGUUCCAAAACCUUGGGACACUCAGUCGUUGAACCUGCGGAUCCCGAGGGCAUAGAGCAGAGCAGAUGGGCUCCCUGCUUUCAGUCACUACCUACAAAGGGCAGCUUGCCUGUGUUUCAUUCCUGGUGAAUUCGCUAAGGUCAGGACAGAAGUUGUGAGUUAGCAGAGAGACCAACAGAUUGAGCCAGCACAUGCGAAUCCAAGCCUGACACUGACUUCUUUCCAGCUCUAUGAACGAGGCAAAAUAACCAAACCUCGUGUGGAAAAUGAAGAAAGGAGGCCACCUCGUGUGGAAAAUGAAGAACGGAGGCCGUUGCAAAGCAUUGUAAACCAUAAUAAAUAGGACCAGAUCACUGUAA